UGAGCAAUCACAUGCAAAGAAUUUGAUUAACAUCUACUAGAAACUCAGCCCUCUGUGAAUGCCAGAGGAAGGAGCUGGAAGGAGGAGAAGGAAAAGAGAAAAAAAGAAGAAGGAGAUGAGGGUUUCUAGAUGAAAUGGUGUGACUCUUUGAUAACUUGUUUGUGUCAUCACCUGUAAACAAGAUACUAAGGGAUUAUUCAAGAUGUCAGAACCAGCCACAUCCAAGGCAGGUUUAAG